rnacentral:rRNA from 1 species
UCAUUCGAUCCUCAGCCCUAUCAACUUCCGAUGGUAGGAUAGAGGCCUACCAUGGUGUCGACGGGUAACGGGGAAUUAGGGUUCUAUUCCGGAGAGGGAGCCUGAGAAACGUGAGUUAACUAAUCUUCCAACUAAAUUUUCCUUUACAGUUGCUAACGAGAUGCAGGGCUACCACAUCCAAGGAAGGCAGCAGGCGCGCAAAUUACCCAAUUCCAAUUCGGAGAGGUAGUGACAAUACAUACUGAUGCGGUGCUCGUUUGGGCAUCGCAAUUGGAAUGAGAACAAUCUAAAUCCCUUAUCGAGGAACAAUUGGAGGGCAAGUCUGGUGGACAGCUGGCGCCAGACAGCCGGAGCACUCAGCUGUGAGUCGCUCUGACAGUGGGUGUAACAACCCGGGAGGAAUCCGGUACCGUGGACGCUCCAGCCGGAGCCGACACGGUGGCAGUCUUGACUGUCGAAACGCACGCCAGGGUUCCGGUAGAUCCCAGCGGAUCUACUUGAGGUACGUGCUAAACUUCCCCCCUGGGGCGAAGAGUUAGUUGGCCAGCAGCCGCGGUAAUUCCAGCUCCAAUAGCGUAUAUUAAAGUUGUUGCAGUUAAAAGGCUCGUAGUUGAACUUUGGGUCUAGCCGUCCGGUCCGCCUCACCGCGAGUACUGGCUCGGCUGGAUCUUUCCUUCUGGGGAUCCGCAUGCUCUUUAUUGAGCGUGUUGGGGAACCAGGACUUUAACUUUGAAAAACUUAGAGUGUUCAAAGCAGGCAUAUGCUCGAAUAUCUUAGCAUGGAAUAAUAGAAUAGGACGUGCGGUUCUAUUUUGUUGGUUUCUAGGACCGCCGUAAUGAUUAAUAGGGAUAGUCGGGGGCAUCAGUAUUCAAUUGUCAGAGGUGAAAUUCUUGGAUUAUUGAAGACUAACUACUGCGGAAGCAUUUGCAAAGGAUGUUCAUUAAUCAGUGAACGAAAGUUAGGGGAUCC